AUGCUGUGCUGCUUUCCCAGGCCUCCAGGCCACAGCCACAGGACCCCACGCAGGGAAACCACUUGCCAACGAGUGAGAGGAUGGUUCACUCGGCCCAGAAGCUUCAGGACCCUCAUCAGGAACCACCCAACAGUCACGGGCAGCCCAGGGCAGGUCUCACCAGACCCAGCCCCCAGAUGCCCAGAGACGAGAGAGAGCCCAGGGCAGGUGUCCCGAGGCCCGACCUUCAUCCGCUCAGAGGCACCGAAUCCACUACAGGUCUACGUAGACCCGGACACCACUAUUGGACAUCAAUCGGCCGAGAGCCCGGCAGAGGUCUGCAGAGUGAACACAGUGCGGGCAGGGGCACCCCACACCCUGACGGAGCCGCUGGAGAAGGCCUUCCUGGACAGGAAGAGCAGGUCCACCUCUUCUGUUCCAAACUCCUCACUGGAGCUGAACUCUCAGAUAGAGUCCAUAGAUGAGCUUCUCCUGGACCAUCUGGAUCGCCCCGAACCUCCUGAGGCACAGCUCCAGAGUGUGGAGGACUGUGUGCCAGCUCCAGGCCCCGAUCAAGUCCCACCUGCAGAGCUCCUGCCUGCUCUACCUGCAGCUCCCUCACCAGCUGUGGCCCCACACCAAGAGCCAGGACCUAUAACCUCUUCCCCACCAGAUGUAGAGCCGGAACUCCUGGCAUCUCCACGACAGGUGUCAUCUCUUGAGCUCUACCUGGGGCCGGCUCUUGGCCCACUGCUGCCAUUCCUGUCACAUACAGAUUUACUUAUUAUACUUAUUGUUACUCUGAUUGCUCAGAGACAGGACAAUGAUAGAAUUAAUGUAAAUAAAUUAACAUUUUACCCUUAUUUAAAAUGAUCACCUCAGUGGAUUCUUAAUGCAUUCUCAGUCCUUUACAAUUCUGUUUCUCUUUUGUUGUUUCUUUGUUUUUGUGGGGCCGGGGAUUUACUUCAGUGGUUUCGCAGCCUGCUGCGAAAGCACAAGGACUGAGUUAGAUCUCCAGUACAAAAAAAAGAAAAAGAAAAAGAAGUAAAAUUAUUGGGGCUGGGGAUUUAGCUCAGUGGUUCAGUCGCCUGUCUUGCAAGUGCAAGGUUCCGAGUCCAAUCCCCAGUACCCAAAACAACAAAUAUGUUUUUCUGGCACUGGGAAUCCAACCGAGGACCUCAAAUUUGCUAGGUAAGAACUCUACCACUGAGCUACACCUCUAGGUCUACUUGGUUUUACUGUACUAAAAUCUCUGAAAGGGGCGAGGGAUUUACCUCAGUGGUUCUGCCCCUUACCUCCCAAGCAGAAGGUCCUGAGUUCGAAUGCCAGUACCAAAACAAACAAACAAACAAACAACAACAACACACUCUGAAGGUGGGGCCCACCAAUCUACAAUUUUUGCACGCACCUCAAGUGAUGCUGACUUUGAGAACUUGACUAAGCUUCCCCCUGCCCGCUCCAAGGAACUUAUGAUUCCUAAGGCACUACAGGAAUUAUAUACAUACACACAAACAAACAUACGUACAUGCACAUAUACAUACAUACAUAUAGACGGGUGGGCCCCUAGGUUCAAUGCAGGAAUUUAGGUCCCAGCCAAAACCUCUCCUCUCACUCUAGACCACGUCCAACCAACAUCUCUAGCCCGCAUCCGAGACACCCAAAACUCAAGGUCAUGAAAAAACCCAGGAUUCUCCAGGGCUGGGGAUUUAGCUCAGCGGUUCCGUCGCUUGCCUUGCAAGCUCAAGGACCCCAGUUCGAUCCCCGCUACCACAUACAAAGCAACCAACCAACCAACAAACAAAACACCCCAGGACUCUCUACUUCCCUCAAGCCGGUUCUCCUCCAAUGGGCUUUGCGAUCAGGAUUCUGAAGGACAUUCACAUUUGAGGGAGCCAGGAUGAAACAAAACCAACUCGGGCCAGGGAAUUAGCUCAGUGGUGCCGCUGCCGCCCUCGCAAGCGCAAGGUCCUCAGUUCAAUCCCCGGUACUCGAGGGAAAAACAAAAAUGGGAGGCCAACAAAAUGAACUCCAAGUCCUUGCCUGGUUUAGGAGGAGGAUCAACUGGUUAAAUAAAUGAUUCAAGUUUUCCAUUCAGAAGGCUAGAGCUUGAAACAAAGUAAAUUUCAAUGAAGUAGAAAGAUAAAUAUUAAGAACAGGAAUUACUGAUGGAGAAGGAUAAAAAUCAGUAGCACUAACCAAUAACUCCCAAACCUGGUUCUUCAAAAAGAUGAAUAAAAUAAGCGAUCACUAAGCACGUCUGGCCAAUAAACCCUAGCGUUGAAAAAGGUAACAGCACAGAUACACGAGUUUCUUUCCCCCCAACGAACUAUACCAAGCAUUGUGCUACCAUAGGUUAAAACUCAAUAGUAUUAAAAUUCAAUGACAUUCAAUGCAAAGUACCAAACUGACUUUGAAGAAAUAGAAAAUCUGAAAAACAUCAAUGGUCCUGGAAAAAAGCUAAACGGCAGUUAACUUUCCAAACACAGCAGCAGGGCAGGGGGUGCAACUCAGUGGUAGAAAACUUGCCUAACUUGCCCUAGGCUCUGGACUCAAUCCUCGGCACUGCAACACAGAAACGAGACAAAACACCAGCAGCCUGCAGUCAGGUUCUGCCAAACUUCCAGAAACAGACUGUUCUUCUGUUCCACAGCGCAGAAAAUGACGACAAGUUUCCCGAUUUAAUCACCAAGGAGAGCAUAAUUCUAAUUAGGAGCUCACAAAAAUACGGGAGGAAAAAGAACUAUACAACCGCACUUAUAAAUAUGGAUACCAAUGCUCUAAACAAUCAGGUAGCACACGGAAACUAGCAAGCUAACCAAAAGUGCCUUUGAACGUGUCCCGGGAUUUGAGAGGAAAAAAAGAAAAAAAAAAUCUAGCAACGUAGCCGCCUGUGUUAAUUCUAACAAGCAAACCUACAUGGUCAUAGCAAUGCACGCUGUACAAAUGCAUUUGGCAGAAAUAAACACUUUAAAACGGUUAGUAACUACGGAUGAGUACAAACUCGACGCGAUGGAGCAUACAGGACUUAGGGAGUAGAGAAAGGAAGUAUUUUCCUAGAACCAAUCUCAACACCAAGAUGUCCUACAUAACCUUCAAAGUCAACAAUGUGGAGAGGGUGACCAGUGGACAACAAAAGAUAAGGAUAACAUGAGAAGGAGAUACAUGCUGCUGCGAGCAAACAAUAAAAUUAUCUACCACCUGGUAGAGCCAAACGAAUCAACUGGACAAACGACCAUGGAAACUGAGUCAGAGUUUAGUGUGGAAGAGGCUCUGCUUCCGAUCUACCAAACCAAACGUGCUUGCUUCUGGAGUUAAUCGCGCCAAGCUAUUUUCCGUAGAGUCAGUUCACACGAUUGACAGAUUUGUGCCCCCACCCUCCUUCCCCACCUUAAACGUUGAAAGGACGCACUGUUUGAAAGUGCGUAACCGAAUCUGCGCAAACCAAAAAUCAUUCUGAAGGGCUGCACCGUGACUCUACUCAAAAACGCUUUAUCUCUGGCCUCAGCCACUGCAGUUAUUGAUGGGCUAAGCAACGUCAACCAGUCCAACAGAAUUCGGCCCACAGAGGCCAAGGAAGAGCACCUUCACUAGAACUGUUUCAUUGCAACGCGCAUACUGCCUGUCCUCUAAAUUUGCGUGCUGUCAAAUGGAGCUCCCACAAAAUAAAACGAAGAUACUCAGAGCCAAACUUGCUUUUUACCAGGGGAAUACGCAUGGACAACUAAUUUUGUUU
rnacentral:lncRNA from 1 species